rnacentral:rRNA from 1 species
GACGAACGCUGGCGGCGUGCCUAAUACAUGCAAGUGGGACGCAAGGGAACACACUGUGCUUGCACACCGUGUUUUCUUGAGUCGCGAACGGGUGAGUAACGCGUGGGUAACCUGCCUAUUAGCGGGGGAUAACUAUUGGAAACGAUAGCUAAUACCGCAUAAUAUUAAUUAUUGCAUGAUAAUUGAUUGAAAGAUGCAAGCGCAUCACUAGUAGAUGGACCUGCGUUGUAUUAGCUAGUUGGUAAGGUAAGAGCUUACCAAGGCGACGAUACAUAGCCGACCUGAGAGGGUGAUCGGCCACACUGGGACUGAGACACGGCCCAGACUCCUACGGGAGGCAGCAGUAGGGAAUCUUCGGCAAUGGACGAAAGUCUGACCGAGCAACGCCGCGUGAGUGAAGAAGGUUUUCGGAUCGUAAAGCUCUGUUGUAAGUCAAGAACGUGUGUGAGAGGGAAAGUUCACAC